GACCACGUAGCUCAGUUGGCAGAGCAUUGUGCUAGUAUUCCAAAGGUCGUAGGUUCGAUUCCCACCGCGGCCA